rnacentral:rRNA from 1 species
GUCUCAGUUCGGAUUGGAGUCUGCAACCCGACUCCAUGAAGCUGGAUUCGCUGGUAAUCGCGCAUCAGCCACGGCGCGGUGAAUACGUUCCCGGGCCUUGUACACACCGCCCGUCAAGCCAUGGAAGCCGGGGGGUGCCUGAAGUGCGCUGCCGCGAGGAGCGCCCUAGGGUAAAACCGGUGACUGGGGCUAAGUCGUAACAAGGUAUC